rfam:Chryseobacterium sp. IHB B 10212 strain IHBB 10212, complete genome.
UCAGGGGAAGCCGAAAACCUUUAAAAGAGUAGGCA